UACGGAGGAUGCGAGCAUUAUCCGGAUUUAUUGGGUUUAAAGGGUGCGUAGGCGGACGCUUAAGUCAGCGGUAAAAUUGCGGGGCUCAACCUCGUCGAGCCGUUGAAACUGGGUGUCUUGAGUGGGCGAGAAGUACGCGGAAUGCGUGGUGUAGCGGUGAAAUGCAUAGAUAUCGCGCAGAACUCCGAUUGCGAAGGCAGCGUACCGGCGCCCAACUGACGCUGAAGCACGAAGGCGUGGGUAUCGAACAGG
rnacentral:rRNA from 1 species